rnacentral:lncRNA from 1 species
CUGCAAAAGACUCCCCUACUCCUGCUAAGAGCCGGAUGGACAACGGCGACGGUCAUGGGCUGGGCUCUAGCCGCGGCCUUCCAUCGACUGGCGGUGGGCAUGAGCUACACAUACCUGGAACCAGCCCCGAGUACCCGCGCUGCAACAGCAUAAGAAGAGGCUGAGCGGGCUUAUUAUUUGUACUAGUAAUUGCUGGGCGGUUGGCAAAGUUUUCCACCAUAGGAAUUAUGUCAGCGUACAUAAGAGCGCAUGCAAGACUUUACCAAAAUGGGUCCACGCUUGAUCUUCUUCCAGAGAGUUUUUCUCCAUCGGGGACAACAUAUGCUUGGAAACUGAGUAAAAAGGAACUUCCAGCGAGGAGACCAGUGCGUUUCAAGGUGGCCUCCAAAGAUGAGUAUCAUGUCAAGUCCAAGCUACUUUAGUCACAAAUCACAAUAUCAAAUGUCACUAAAAGAACAAACAUCAGAGGAGUGAAGUUCUGAUCGUCGGCCCCGGGGGGGAUGCAGUCUAAAGAGCCGACAGAAACAAAACCGUCUAUCGCCGUCCAGCGCCCGCCAUGAGAUCCAUGCCUGCGCCUGUCUAAAUCCAUCGCCACUUGAUCGCUUAGCAUCCUUGAUCUUGUCCCAAGAAAAAUGGCCUAAAGUUUCAAGGGCGUGUGAAAAAGCCCUAUAGAUCACUUCGCCUCUGGGAGUGGCUGGGAAGAUGAUGUAGUGAUCAUAGAAUCUGUUGCAAGGUGAGAAUUUUCUGUGUUCUUCUCACUUAAAAGAUGGAGGCCUUAUGGCGCUCAAGGUAUGUGUUGAAUUUCUUUCUCUCUAAUUUUCUUUUUUCUUUUCUCUCUCUUUUGUUGUGUACAGCCGAGGGGGGAAGGCCCUACGGCGCUCAAGGUGUUGUUGAAUUUCUUUCCUUUGAUUUUUCUCUAAUUUUGCUUUUUGUUUUUGUUUUUCAGCCGAAUCGGGAAAACCUAGGGAAGCUUACCAUUGAACCUUCAGAUGCAUAUACUAUCUUUGUUACCAGUCGAAGACAUAGUGUGGUCGCAUUUGGUUUGCAAACAAUGGGAUUCUCUGCUAAAUGAUCCACAUUUCAAAGCAUUAUGGGCCCGAAACAGCCGCUACAGAACACCUACUUUCGUAUUGCUGCAGGAAGGAACUAACACAGAACUUUUAAAACAGCGAACUCGCUACUACAAAUAUCCUUCAGGGCCUUACAGGUUGCAAGAUUUACCUCGGGGUUGGGACUCCUGGCUUACACCGGAAGGUUCAGAACUAUUCUUGUCCGCAGGUGGCCUGGUCGUAUGCAUCAUCGAGGAGAAUUACGAGACACGUUUCUUCGUUGGGAACCCGCUAACGCAACAAUGGGUGACCGUACCUGCACUUAAAACUUCAGCACAGUGUCGCCGGUCGUUCAUGCUGAUCCCGUACAUGAGUGAAGGUUUGAUGUUCUUCAGGAUGGCGAUUGACCCAUAUUUGUUCGACUCCAAAGUGGGGAUUUGGACAUUUCCUCCCUAUCAAACCAUGUGGACGUUGUCCUCCAACACGUUGCACAUACAAGGAGUGCAAUACGGUCUUGGGAUUUGUCAGCAGCACAGUGCAGUUGUGCUGCUGGAGAUUGAUGAUCUGGGAGCUCUUAGCGAAUCGAAGUGGCUGUGGGCCUGGGACGUGGGUACAAUUCCGUCUUUGUCUUACUCGUACAUGCUCGAAAUUGGCGGUGAGAUUGGGAUACUCGUUGCAACGAUGGAUUGGGAGGUCGUGGUUUUGGUGCUGGACAGGAAGAGUGGUAAAGAAUGGAGCUGGAGGAAAGUCUCAGCAUUACCCAAACACUUCUACAGGCACUUGCACGACUGGGUGCCUUUGUUUGACAGCAGGACAUGUUGUACACAUGGCAAUCUUACGUUCUUGUGUGUAGGGAUGCAGGUUCUGGUAUUUGAUUCCCAACGCAUGACAUGGGAGCUGGUUGGGAAACGUUUGUUGCGUACAAUGGAGCUGCUUGUUUGGGUGCCCGACUUCACAGCUGUCCCAAAUGUUAACACGCCCAGCGAGAAGUUGAAGCAAAGUUGUGCCAGCAAAUAUCCAGGGGGCAGCUUUCAUAUUACACCUGGAACGUUCUCAGGUGAAGAGAAGAGUUCCCUAUAUACAUGUGCGGUUAUUGAUUUGUACUUGGUCGAAUUUUCUAGAGGUGGAGGCUCUUUCAAAGCGUGGGAUGCCAUGGCAACAGAUUGGAGAGGUCGCACUUGAUCGGAACAAAGGUAACCGUACCAUUUUAUUCUGUGUGAUUUCCUUGUUGACAAAGUGUUUGGGCAGCGGUAUUUAUGCUACAUUUGAUUGCUUAAAUGGGGUUCUUUAAUUUGAGAAAACCGCGCUGAGAUCUUUUCUAGAGCUGGAGGCUCUUUCAAUGGCAACAGAUUGGAGAGGUCGCGGUUGAUCGGAACAAAGGUAACCGUAGCAUUUUCUUGUGUGUGAUUUCCUUGUUAACAAAGUGUUUGGGCAGCGGUAUUUAGGUUAUAUUUGAUUGCUAAAUUGGUUCUUUAAAUUAUUAUUAUGCUUUAUUUUGUUAAAGUGGAACUUUUCAUUAUCCCACUUAUGGUGUGUGGCCACAUGCCAUUUUUAUAACAACAAUAAAAAAUUGAAGUUUUAGCUUUAUAAUUUAUAGAUUAAAAACUUUUCAUAUGAUUUUGUGUUAUAAUAUUGUGAAAUAUAAAAAAUAAAUUAAAAAACUGAUAGAAAUAUUAAUAAAUAUUAAUUAAGUACUAGGAAAUGCACAUGCUAAUUAAUGUCCCACUUUACUGAAUAAGUUCCACUUUAACAAAAUAAAGCAUUAUUUGAGAAAACCAGCAUAAGCGCUGAGAUCUUUGUGCCAUAAUGAUCAUAGCAAAAUUAUUUGCUGUAGCUUUGAAGUUUUGGUUUUGUCUGCCAGCAUACUAUACUCUAAUACUGUGCUCAUUUGCUUUGUUAGAAGGUACUUUAUCAUCCGUUACAGGAAAUUCAUUCCAUCUCUGCAGGAAUAGCACCAGCAACUUUAAGUUUUUUAAGAAAACAUACACGUUCAUGGUCAAUCGUCUUCUUUCAAAUAGUUGGAGACGAAUCUUGUGAACAGUAACUUGCUUUAGUCUGACGGUGAAAAUGUUGUGCACAGCUGCUUCUUACAAAUAAAAAGGUUCCACCCAAUCGCUUAAAAGAAUCUGUCCACUCUUCAAGCAAUGGCUUGGAAGCGGUUUGUAGUUUCAUUUCUUCUCUCCAAACUUACCUUUUGAAUUUACAGAUCACUAGCCGUCUAGGCACCAGACCAAAGGUGGCCCAGCUUCUCAUGGAUGCGUUUUACCUGCACGGCAAGAAGCUGCACGCGAGCGGAGCAAUCAAAAUUGUCGUCUCCCAUUGCAGGUAGCUGGAGUGCUCAAGAGGCUGCGAAAGACUCCUCUACUCCUGCUAAGAGCCGGAUGGACAACUGGGCAGCAGUGGCCACGACUGGAACAAGCCCCGAAUAUCCGUGCUGAAACAGCACAACAGAUGGUUGAUGAUUGCAAACCUUCGAAACCAUUAUUCAAGAUUUUUAGGUCUGAAGAACCUCAAGAGCAUAGUUUAGGUGUUUUUAUUUUGUUAUUUUAACAUUAGUAUUAGAGAUGCAAUGGUGGACCAAGAUAAAUGUUAAAAGCCUAAUGUAGAUGGUGGCUAAUGGAGAUGUAGAGAUUUGAAUUAUCCAUGAAAUUGUUUAUGUCCUUAAUAAAAAUUAGCAAUAGAUGCUAAAAGAGAUUCAUGGCAUGAUAAUUGCUAUACAUGGGCAUGUUAGUAAUGCUCCAAAUAAAAGAUCAAACUUAAAUUUUUCUAAUGAUGGUAGAAUGUCAACUUGGUUAACAAAUGUGAAAAAGUUCUUAGCUGCUAAAGGAAUCCUAAAUGUAAAAGAUUUAGUAAUUAUUCCAGUGGUUUUACAUGAUUCAUAUGAGAAUAUCCCAAAAGAAUCACCAUCUUCUCGAAAGUGAACCCAGCGUGACUCGAACACGCAACCUUCUGAUCUGGAGUCAGACGCGCUACCGUUGCGCCAUGGAUCCCUCUCACGUGGAAGAACAGAAUAUUCUCAUGGCAAACAGAUUUUAGGUCUAUCUUAAACUGAUUUUUUAAUGGUAAAAUUGUUAAGGAUCUAUAUCUACUAUAGAUAAGUUUAAAGUUACUUUUCAUUUACAUUUUACCCCUCAAAACUACUUGCAUAGAAUGGGAAAAUUGAGGGGUAGGAUGUUGAAAGGAAGAAAGAUUGAGCAAUUUCUAAUUGUGAAAAUAUUGCAAAGACUUUAACAAGGAUUUAGCAUAUUCAAUACUUGUGCACAAGCACUAGUUUUGCGAUAGCACGUUUCUCAAAUAAUAAUUUUAAAGAACCUUAUUUAAGAAAUCAAAUGUAGUGUAAAUACACCCAAACACUUUGUCACCAAGGAAAUCACACACAAGAAACUGCUACGGUUACCUUUGUCUGUGACCUCCCCAAUCUGUUGCCAUGCCAUCCCACGCUUUGAAAGAGCCUCCACCUCAAUGAGAGAGAGAGAGAGAGGGAGAGAGAGAGAGAGAGAGAGAGAGAGAGAGAGAGAGAGAACACUUCUCCAUCACCUGAGAACAUUCCAUAGCCGGCAUCAAAGCUGCCCCCUUCAACUUCUCGCUGGGCGUGUUAACAUUUGGGACGGCUGCGAAGUCAGGCACCCACACAAGCAGCCCCAUUGUACACAACAAACAUUUCCCAAGCUCCCAUGUCAUGCGUUGGGAUUCAAAUACCACAACCUGCAUCCCUACGCAUAAAAACGUGAGAUUGCCAUGUGUACAGCAUGUCCUGCUGUCAAACAAAGACACAAAGCUGCUCUCCUUGUGGAAGUGUUUGUCGAAGUGUUUGGAUAAUGUUGAGACUUUCCUCCAGCCCCAUUCUUUACCACUCUUCCUGUCCAGCACCAGAACCACGACCUCCCAAUCCCUCGUUGCAGCGAGUAACUUAAUCUCACCGCCAAUUUCGAGCAUGUACGGGCUAGACAAAGACGGAAGUGUGUCCAUGUCCCAGGCCCACAACCACUUCGAUUCGCUAAGAGCUUCCAGAUCAUCAAUCUCCAGCAGCACAACUGCACUGUGCUGCUUACAACACCCAAUUGCACUCCUUGUAUGUGCAAUGUGUUGGAGGAGAACGUCCAGAUGGUUUGAUAGGGAGGAAGUGUCCAAAUCCCCACUUUGGAGUCGAACAAAUAUGGGUCAAUUGCAAUCCUGAAGAACAUCGAACCUUUGUUGAAUCCUUUCGGUGCCUGCAUGAGGCUCCUGCACAAGCUUGUGGAGGAGCUGCCAAAUUUUAUGUUGAAUUUGCAUGGGAGAACUCCACCAAGUUUCAUGGGGUGGAGACUUGCGAUUAUGGGAAGUCCCUCCAAAAGCCGGACCAUUCUACGCUACCUUCAUUCAAUUCAAGGAUAGUCCAUACAAGAAGCAUCAACAAAGAAACAAAGACUUUCCCUUCCAUUCCAGUAUGGACACUCACAAGCACGGAGGCAAUCGUCUGGAGAAGAAGAGAGUCCAAGUCUGCGCGUGGCAAGACGCAAUUGCAAAGCAGUUGUUCCCGCAAAGAGCCGUCUAUGCUUGCCAGUAUCCCACAAGGACCAGCCUUUGGCCGUUUCGCAUCCUCUCUGCCUUAUGAUGCACUAUGGUGAUUUUCAUUAUUAAAUUAUUAUUACAUGUUUUGACUAUGGUUUACUUUUUAAUAGAAUAUUCCUACUUUUAAAUGGUUCUUAGAAGAAAGUAGUAAACACAAAGUUGUCACAACUUACUUUAUUCUGGAAAACCUCUCCAAACUUGGUUUUUGACUAUCUAUCAUUUUAAGCACCAAAAUAUUAGGAAGGGAAAGAACAUUCACCUUUUGGAUUUGCCUCCAAAAGCUCUUGAAUUAGAUUUAAUUAACUUAUUUAUUAGAUUUAGAACAAAAGUUUUAUCAUGGAGAGGUUAUAUAAGCUGAAGCCAUUAACAUUUGGAGUCUGAAAUUCUCUACCCACACUUCUAGAAUCCAAUACCUUAAAAUGUUAUAAGUAUUUUAAGCAAUUUGGAGCUCAAGAUCAAAAUCAUGACUAACAAAUUAAGGAAUUGAUUGCUUUUAAAAGAUUACACUAAAAAAUUCAUGAAGUGUCUAUUUUCUGAGUCUGGCAAAGUUGCCCAUUACCUUUUUAGCAUUUAUUUUACCAUAAAUUUUACUAUUGUAUGCAUGUAUUUGUUUAUAAUCCUAAAAGAAAGCAAUUGACAAAACCAUUAAAAAAUAGACACAACACCAUAAAAAGAGAUAGAAAUAGCAUUGUCCACCUAUGCCUUAAAGUUAAGACUUUCAAGUGGUGUUUCCUCUUCUAGGAAAAUUAGGCUCUCUAUUUAGCAUCAUGCUCAUUUUGCAAUUCCAUAGGCUCAUUUUUUAAAUUUUUUUUGAUGUAGUUUUUAAAUAUAAAGUCACAUCUAACCAAAAUGUCCCUUGACACUUAGCCCAUUAGCAACUAUAGAUACCUGUUUUAAUAGUUAUCAAAAGUGGCUCCUCUAUUCUGUCUCAAAAUCUCACAAUGACUUAUUCACUAAUUAUGUAUUCAUAAAAUCUAUUUAAUUGUAAAGCUAUUUCUAAAUAUAAAGGAUAUAUGAGUUGAUAUCUACUUACUUCAUCGAAAUCUUUGCAUAUGACAAUUAUACAUUACUCUUUCUAAAUGUACAUAAGUUAUUAUUAGAAUCUAAAUUACAUCUCAAUGCUCAAGAAUAACAAAUAUUAUAAACAAAAUAAUAUUAUUGUUAUAAGUGUAUGGAAUAUGGAAAUGGAAUACAGAAAUAUGCAUAUUAAUUAGCCCAAAAACCUAGUUUAUAUAUAAAAGCGAGUGGUCCAAGGGAUGAUGUGAGGUUCAAAUAUACAAUUACACUACCAUAUACUAAUAUUCACAUAGUGGGAUUUUGGUAGUUAUCAGAUUGGUUUCAAUCUUAGAAUGAUGGAAGACAACCAAGGUUUUCUUGUGGAUGGGCCGGGAUUUAGAGAAACAUCAAAAGGUGACAUCGAUGAAUUUAUAGGUGGUGCUAAUUGUUCUUAAUCUCUUUGUAUGAAGCAUUUUAACUAUAGCAUAUACACAAUUUCUAGAGAAUUAAUUUGUUAGACAUCUUAUUGAACCUCAUAAAUUUGCAGUCCAACUUGCCGUAACAUCUAAUAUGGUCCCUUCCACUGAGCAAAAAUCCCCUUAAAUAAACUAUGUACCAUAAUAUUGGGAAAACAAAUUAACACCAAGUCAUCCAUUUUGUACUUCAUAGGUGAACAAUAAUGGGAGUUGUAGUGUUGUUGUUGUCCCACUUAUACAUGGCCUAAGUGUUUGGCAAACUCUACUUAGGUAAGUGGAAGAAUGGUUAUCAAAUACUAAUCCCAAGACCUAGCAUCGGUAGUCAUGACAAUCACAAAAGUAAACUCAAUUCCAUUGGUAGUAUCAAAUCAUGACUAUAUAAGAGUUUAUAUAGUAAAGCAUCAACAAAACUUUACAUCCAUGUGAUAUAUGCAUAUUAAAGAGAUAGUAAGUUACCAUCUCAAUCCGAAUGUUGAAAAUUCACAUACUUAAUAAUCAUCCUUUUGAAGGUCCAAACGAGUCAUUCCACCAAAUCAUUUGAUUAUGAAUAAUAAACACUCAUGAAAAUGUGGUAUAUCCCUAAUUGAGACAUUAAGACAUGAAAUGCCUCAACUAUAAAUAUAAAACCAUUAUCUAAAAGAAUUUUCUCUAGACAGGAAUAUUGAAACACCACUCGAUUGAGGAGAAAGUAUUCAAUAGCAAUUGCAGAUGCACUAGCAAGAGCACCAACUUCUACCUAACAAGUCAAGCAGUUAGAAAAAAUAAUGAUAUACUCAUUACCAACAAUCGACUAUGGAAAAUGCCCCGUCAAAUCAAACGCCACCAACUCAGACAAAUAAGAAAUUGCAAUUAACUUCAAUUGUCCUUUUGUAGCAUGAAGGGGAAUACUACGAGCUUAGUGCUGUAAGGAACCAACUCCCCGAUAUGUCAAAGGCUAAAGGAUCACCGACCAAAAUGAUAAAGAGUUCAUCAGAUGAAAUCGAGUCCGAGAUCAAGUCCAUAACCAGCUUUAAAACCGAGUUUGAGACCGAGUCCAAGAUCGAGUCUGAGACCGACUCCGAGACCGAGUUCAAGACCGAGUCUGAGACCGAGUUCAAGACCAAGUCCGAGAUCCGAGAUUGGGUCCGCGACCGAGUCCGAGAUUGAGUCCGAGACAGAGUUUGAGGUCGGGUCCGAGAUAGAGUCCGAGAUCGAAUUCGAAACCAACUCCAAGACCGAGUCUGAGACCGAAUUCGAGACCGAGUUCAAGACUAAAUCCAAAUACUAAUAUAAAUCGUGGGGUGAAAGCCUAAAACGUGUCUCCCUGGAUGGGGGCGCUGCAAAGGGUUCCAAAACUAUAGUAGGGAUAGUGAGGUCUAGGAAUCAGUCUUAAAGGAACUUUCUAGUGGUGCUUCCAAACUGACUUGAGGUUGAAGUUGGGGUUGCGGGGCCUUGGGUGAGGGUGAGCAUGGAUUCGGGUGGUGCCAAAGGGGCCACUCAAGGAAGUGCUCAAGAGUAACUCCCACUCCUAGGAGGGAAAUCAACUGCAGUGCUCCCGACUCAUACGGGGUGGUGCCCCACUUAACUACCUUGUGGCUCAUUGAUCCUCACCCUUCUUAGGGGCUUGGGCCUUUCCCCCGGGAUGAAAGUGGGGGAGUAGAGGUACCCAUACCGGGCUAUUAGGUUAUGGUGUUUCCCCCGUAGUGUCCCAAAGCAAGUGUUGCACCUAAGGAUUGGGAUUUAGAGGGUCCCAUGAUCAAAUCUUAUGUGAGACACAAAAUCCCUAGGCCCCAAAGUAGAGCCGGAAAGGGCACCACGUGGUAGUGGCUGAAGCGAGAGCCAAACGAGCGUAACACGUUUGGACCAAAAGCUCCGACUUGAAAAGUCAAGAGCGGGAGUGGAACUCCCAACGAAGUGCUCGAGGAACGAGCACGAAGCGAGCAAAAGGCGAGGCUCCAAAAAGGGACCCAAAAGGACCAACACAUGACACGUGGGAGUGUCCGAGAUGGACUCGAGUUGGAGUCCGAAGUGGAGUCCGAGAUGGACCCGAGUUGGAGUCCGAAGUGGAGUCCGAGAUGGACCCGAGUUGGAGUCCGAAGUGGAGUCCGAGAUGGACCCGAGUUGGAGUCCGAAGUGGAGUCCGAGAUGGACCCGAGAUGGAGUCCGAGAUGGAGUCCGAAGUGGAGUCCGAGGUGGACCCGAGAUGGACCCGAGUUGGAGUCCGAAGUGGAGUCCGAGAUGGACCCGAGAUGGAGUCCGAGAUGGAGUCCGAGAUGGAGUCCGAGGUGGACCCGAGAUGGACCCGAAAUGGAGUCCGAGAUGGAGUCCGAGAUGGACCCGAGAUGGAGUCCGAGAUGGAGUCCGAGAUGGACCCGAGAUGGACCCAAGAUGGAGUUCGAGAUGGAGUCCGAGAUGGACCCGAGAUGGAGUCCGAGAUGGAGUCCGAGAUGGACCCGAGAUGGACCCAAGAUGGAGUCCGAGAUGGAGUCUGAGAUGGAGUCCGAGAUGGAGUCCGAAGUCGAGACUGAGACCGGGACCGAGACCGGGACCGAGACCGAGACCGAGACCGAGACCGAGAUCGGGACCGAGACCGAGACCGAGGCCGAGGCCGAGACCGAGCCCGAGCCCGAGUCCGAGUCCGAAUCCGAGUCCGAGUCCGAGUCCGAGUCCAAGUCCGAGUCCGGAGCCUGAGAGGGUGAAAGCCCAAAGCGUUCGUCUCCCAGACCCUGGGGGGUUUGGUGAGCUCCAAAAGUAUAGUAGGGGGAGGACUGCAGUGGAGCUAGUUUGGCCAGGAAAGGCCAGUUUGGCCCAGGAAGGCCGGACCCAGUGUUGGGUGAUGAGCUGCCCACUGGGAAGUCCAAGACUAGAGUGAACACGGACCGACAAGCGGGGUAGCUUGGUGAAGUGUUCAAGAGCUGGCUCUAGUUCCCCCGGGAGAUCGACUGGCCGAUGCUCCCAGUCCAAGUGUGGGUGGCACUACCUACUUGGAUACCAGGCGUGGCUCAACGGAACCUCGCUCUAAGCCCAUGGCUAGAGCACCCAAGGGCAGAAGGCGAGGAGAGUACCCAGGUGGCUCGCGUAAGGCCACGGUGUUCCGAAAUGUUGUCCCAAAGGCCCAGACUGUGGAAAGGAAGAGGAGCGGACACAGUCGUGUGGUGAGGAAGUCCCAGAGGACCGUGGGACUUAGUGGUCGGGCCUGUGGGUCUCGAUCCAGUGGCAGUGUUGGCAAACACGGCCAGGGGCAGAAAGGGACAUAGUGGGAACUGACAGAGGGAUAUUGAGGAAGGCUAUUCCCCUUGUCGGUGGGCAUCCUAAGGAUGCUAAGGAGUGGAUCUAAGAUGACCACUCACGGAUGGUUUGCCUAGUCUUGGAGAGCCAAGACGGUGAUGCAAGUGGUAUUGGACUACCAGUGUGGCAAAGGUGAUUGGGCAUGGCCUUAGCGUAACGGGCUGCUAUGUCGGUGGUACCUCUGAGUGUCGGUCAUGGGAUCGGACACGUGGAGCACUUGGACCAAGUGCAAAUGUUAAAUGGCAUGGAUGCCAUUCUCGGGGCUAGCAAGUCCCAAGUCCUGGAUUGGACUUAUAGAGGUUGUGAAUGAGACUCCUCCAAGUGGUCAGAGAUGUGGUUAAGUGACUAAAGUAGAAUGGAAAAUUUAGUCGCUUACAUCUUAUUGUACCAAUGGAUGUUAGGAAUUUGAAGGCUUGGUGUGCUUGGCUGCUUGUGCCUGUGGGGAAUCUAACCGAACCUUAAAUCUAAUUUAACCUAGAAAGGGGGAUUUAGAGAGAAUUUGGGAAUUUGUAGAUGGAUGGCUAACACUCUAUUGUUCAUGCAAUGAGUUGUUAAAACCAAGUAAGACCAAAUAAGAGAUGGGAAUCUUAGUGAACGAAUUUAACUAAAACCAAGGCCGUGGUGGUCGGAUAAACGAAGUAAGCUAGCAAAGUGGAAAGAAAAAAUUUGUAAUUUAUAAUUUGGUAUCGAAGCAUUUUCCUCAGUUCUAGCAAAGGAUAAAAAUGGAUUGCUAAGAGAUGGCAAAAGUAGGGCUAAAAAAAACCAAAGCGGAGAUGAAACUUCCUCCAGAGUUAAAGCCUCCGAUCAAACAAGAGACUAGGGAUGAAGAAUCCUUGCAUAAAGAGGACUCCAGUAAGGAAAUUUCUAAACAGGAGUUCAGUGGUAAAGUUCAAUCAUCCAAGGCUCGAUUAAACAUUUUAGAAGGACAAUUGGCAUAGACUAAUGCCUUGUUAGAGAUUAUUGUACACAAGUUAAAGCAUAACAAAAAGCGAAAGAAAAAGCAAAAAAUUGCAAAUGCUAACAGUGUAGAAUGUAUGGACAGUCAUAAGUUGGGCUCUAACCACGGCCUUCCAUCGACUGGCGGUGGGCAUGAGCUACACAUACCUGGAACCAGCCCCAAGUACCUGCGCUGCAACAGCAUAAGAAGAGGCUGAGUGGGCUUAUUAUUUGUACUAGUAAAACUGCCCAGCAAAGCAAAUUCUGGGCGGUUGGCAAAGUCUUCCACCAUAGGAAUUAUUUCAGAAGAGCGCAUGCAAGACUUUACCAAAAUGGAUCCACGCUUGAUCUUCUUCCA